GACGAACGCUGGCGGCGUGCUUAACACAUGCAAGUCGAACGGAAAGGCCCUGCUUUUGUGGGGUGCUCGAGUGGCGAACGGGUGAGUAACACGUGAGUAACCUGCCCUUGACUUUGGGAUAACUUCAGGAAACUGGGGCUAAUACCGGAUAGGAGCUCCUGCUGCAUGGUGGGGGUUGGAAAGUUUCGGCGGUUGGGGAUGGACUCGCGGCUUAUCAGCUUGUUGGUGGGGUAGUGGCUUACCAAGGCUUUGACGGGUGGCCGGCCUGAGAGAGUGACCGGCCACAUUGGGACUGAGAUACGGCCCAGACUCCUACGGGAGGCAGCAGUGGGGAAUAUUGCACAAUGGGCGGAAGCCUGAUGCAGCAACGCCGCGUGCGGGAUGACGGCCUUCGGGUUGUAAACCGCUUUCGCCUGUGACGAAGCGUGAGUGACGGUAAUGGGUAAAGAAGCACCGGCUAACUACGUG
rnacentral:rRNA from 1 species